rnacentral:tRNA from 1 species
GGGGCCGUCGUCUAGCAUGGACUAGGAUACCACCCUGGGGCGGUGGCGAUCGCGAGUUCAAAUCUCGCCGGCCCCA